AGUCAUAUGCUUGUCUCAAAGAUUAAGCCAUGCAUGUCUAAGUAUAAGCAAUUAUACAGCGAAACUGCGAAUGGCUCAUUAUAUAAGUUAUCGUUUAUUUGAUAGUACCUUACUACUUGGAUAACCGUGGUAAUUCUAGAGCUAAUACAUGCUAAAAAUCCCGACUUCGGAAGGGAUGUAUUUAUUAGAUUAAAAACCAAUGCCCUUCGGGGCUCACUGGUGAUUCAUGAUAACUCCUCGAAUCGCAUGGCCUUGUGCCGGCGAUGGUUCAUUCAAAUUUCUUCCCUAUCAACUUUCGAUGUUUGGGUAUUGGCCAAACAUGGUUGCAACGGGUAACGGAGGGUUAGGGCUCGACCCCGGAGAAGGAGCCUGAGAAACGGCUACUACAUCCAAGGAAGGCAGCAGGCGCGCAAAUUACCCAAUCCCGACACGGGGAGGUAGUGACAAUAAAUACUGAUACAGGGCUCUUUUGGGUCUUGUAAUUGGAAUGAGUACAAUUUAAAUCCCU
rnacentral:rRNA from 1 species